UUGGGUAUGAUAGCUUACAUG
rnacentral:siRNA from 1 species